AGAAUACAAUGAAAAUGGUGCCCCCUGCAGCAUGAAAUUAGCAAUAUCACAUCCACCUCUCAUGUAAUAAAUUUGGAAACUAAGACCCACAGAGAGAAAUCCUCUGCCCUGACAGAUCUGGAAGCCUAGCUUUGACAUAGGAAGGUAUUCUAGAAAUAAAGAAGAAAGCAAGUUUUGGUAAAGGAAAUAAGUAGGAUCUCUCAGGACUUAGUAUCAGGAACAAGAGAUGUAUUGGUUGGAGCCUGACAAUGUGUCAGGGCAGUGAAUUGAAACUGACCUGAGUCUCUGACAUCUUCGUAGAGCCACAUAGCAACCCUGGAUCUCCUCUCUCAGAACAUUUUUCCAUGUAGUAAAAAUAAACUUUUAUCUUAUUUACGCUACA